GCACAGCCCUUCCGAUUCAAACAAAGUAACGAUUAAAAAAAAGACAGAUUAAUUUCGAACUCUAAAUUGCAACAAAAGAAUUUAAGAUACGGAAGAUUCCGAUCAGGCGGCGGUUUACUGUCCAUUUGAGUUGGAUGAAUUCAGUAAAUUGAGACUCAAUGGCAGCAUAAGGAAAUUGAUAAUUGAUUGAUGGAGGGCUUGACGUUAGGGUUUCAAUGGCAGGGAAGAGAGAAAGAGAAAGAGAAAGCUUUGUAUAUUUCUUCGGUUUCUUUUCUUAUAUUUGAAAAUGAACGCUUUAUGUGCUGUUG
rnacentral:misc_RNA from 1 species